rnacentral:rRNA from 1 species
AUUGAACGCUGGCGGCAUGCUUUACACAUGCAAGUCGAACGGCAGCGGGGAGGAGCUUGCUUCUCUGCCGGCGAGUGGCGAACGGGUGAGUAAUACAUCGGAACGUGUCGAGAAGAGGGGGAUAACCACCCGAAAGGGUGGCUAAUACCGCAUAAAUUCUGAGGAAGAAAGCUGGGGACCUGGGAAUAGGCCUAGCGCUUUUUGAGCGGCCGAUGUCGGAUUAGCUAGUUGGUGAGGUAAAGGCUCACCAAGGCGAAGAUCUGUAGCGGGUCUGAGAGGAUGAUCCGCCACCCUGGGACUGAGACACGGCCCAGACUCCUACGGGAGGCAGCAGUGGGGAAUUUUGGACAAUGGGGGCAACCCUGAUCCAGCCAUGCCGCGUGUAUGAAGAAGGCCUUAGGGUUGUAAAGUACUUUUGUUAGGGAAGAAAAGUCAGCUGUGAAUAAUGGCUGAUACUGACGGUACCUAAAGAAUAAGCACCGGCUAACUACGUG